rnacentral:rRNA from 1 species
AGCAGCCGCGGUAAUUCCAGCUCCAAUAGCGUAUAUUAAAGUUGUUGCAGUUAAAAAGCUCGUAGUUGAAUUUCGGGGUUAGUAGGUUGGUCAUGCCUCUGGUAUGUACUGGUCUCACUGAUUCCUCCUUCCUGAUGAGCCGUAAUGCCAUUAAUUUGGUGUUGCGGGGAAUUUGGACUGUUACUUUGAAAAAUUGAGUGUUUAAAGCAAGCUAACGCUUGAAUACAUUAGCAUAGAAUAAUGAAAUAGGACGUUCGAUCUUAUUUUGUGGUUUCUAGGAUUGACGUAAUGAUUAAUAGGGAUAGUUGGGGCAUUAGUAUUCAAUUGUCAGAGGUGAAAUUCUUGGAUUUAUUGAAGACUAACUACUGCGAAAGCAUUUGCCAGGAUGUUUCAUUAAUCAAGAACGAAAGUUAGGGAUCGAAGACGAUCAGAUACCGUCGUAGUCUUAACCAUAAACUAU